rnacentral:rRNA from 1 species
AGUGAACGCUGGCGGUAGGCCUAACACAUGCAAGUCGAGCGGCAGCACAGUAAGAGCUUGCUCUUACGGGUGGCGAGUGGCGGACGGGUGAGGAAUACAUCGGCAUCUACUUUUUCUUGGGGGAUAACGUAGGGAAACUUAUGCUAAUACCUCAUACGACCUACGGGUGAAAGCAGGGGAUCUUCGCACCUUUCGCGUUUGUAUUAGCUGAUGUCGGAUUAGCUAGUUGGCUGGGUAAAGGCCCACCAAGGCAACGAUCCGUAGCUGGUCUGAGAGGGUGAUCAGCCACACUGGAACUGAGACACGGUCCAGACUCCUACGGGAGGCAGCAGUGGGGAAUAUUGGACAAUGGGCGCAAGCCUGAUCCAGCCAUACCGCGUGGGUGAAGAAGGCCUUCGGGUUGUAAAGCCCUUUUGUUAGGAAAGAAAAGCAGCAGGUUAAUACACCGCUGUUCUGACGGUACCCAAAGAAUAAGCACCGGCUAACUUCGUG